AGUGAACGCUGGCGGUAGGCCUAACACAUGCAAGUCGAACGGCAGCACAGUAAGAGCUUGCUCUUACGGGUGGCGAGUGGCGGACGGGUGAGGAAUACAUCGGAAUCUACUUUUUCGUGGGGGAUAACGUAGGGAAACUUACGCUAAUACCUCAUACGACCUACGGGUGAAAGCAGGGGAUCUUCGGACCUUGCGCGAUUGAAUGAGCCGAUGUCGGAUUAGCUAGUUGGCGGGGUAAAGGCCCACCAAGGCGACGAUCUGUAGCUGGUCUGAGAGGAUGAUCAGCCACACUGGAACUGAGACACGGUCCAGACUCCUACGGGAGGCAGCAGUGGGGAAUAUUGGACAAUGGGCGAAAGCCUGAUCCAGCAAUACCGCGUGGGUGAAGAAGGCCUUCGGGUUGUAAAGCCCUGUUGUUGGGAAAGAAAAGCAGCAGGUUAAUACCCCGCUGUUCUGACGGUACCCAAAGAAUAAGCACCGGCUAACUUCGUG
rnacentral:rRNA from 1 species